UACGGGGGGGGCAAGCGGUUGUUCGGAAUUACUGGGCGUAAAGGGCUCGUAGGCGGCCAACUAAGUCAGACGUGAAAUCCCUCGGCUUAACCGGGGAACUGCGUCUGAUACUGGAUGGCUUGAGAUUGGGAGAGGGAUGCGGAAUUCCAGGUGUAGCGGUGAAAUGCGUAGAUAUCUGGAGGAACACCGGUGGCGAAGGCGGGUCUCUGGGCCGUAACUGACGCUGAGGAGCGAAAGCGUGGGGAGCGAACAGG
rnacentral:rRNA from 1 species